UGAUGGCAGAGAGGUCACACCCGUUCCCAUACCGAACACGGAAGUUAAGCUCUCUAGCGCCGAUGGUAGUUGGGACCUUGUCCCUGUGAGAGUAGGACGUCGCCAAGC
rnacentral:rRNA from 3 species